rnacentral:rRNA from 1 species
AUUGAAUCACCAGUUCCCGUACGAUCACCGAAGUUAAGCAAAGUCGAAUUUUGUCAGUACCUAAAUGGGUGACCGCUUGAGAAUACCCGGU